GGGAGCCCCAGAAGGAUAAGGGGCCCUGUCAGAGCAGGGCUGCGGGGUUCCCCUGGCAUGUUGGGCACAGAGAGUCUGCAGGAUGCAGGGCCAGGGAGGGAGGUCUGCCUGGCCUGGGGAAAUGUGAUAAGGGCUCAUCUCGAGUGGUGGUAAGAGAAGAGAGGGCCCCGAGAGUCACAGGCGGCAUUGCAAAGGCCCCAGCCAGCCUUGCCUGUGGGGUGAGGGAGAGGAAGGAACUAGAACUCUGGGGUUUGUGGCCUGGUCGAAUGGGGGGCUGUGGGGCUCAUGAGCAGAGCUGGGCGGUUGGGAUGGGGAGCUGGUCUGGGGAAAUUCGCCAUGGCCUUGGCCCUGGGUGAUCUGAGUUCAGAGAUCACCACCCCUUUAUGCCUGGCUCUCCUCUAUGGCUGCCUGGGACAGGGGCUGUGGAAGGGCCUUCCAUCGUGUGGAAGGGCCCUUCUUCAGGGAAUGCCCAGCACGGCUCCUGCCUUGAGUGAAGGAGUUGGCUGCAGCUGCGAGAGUGUUGCAUCAGGUGUCAUCAGCGUGGCCAAGUCACAGGGAGGCAGCAACAAGAUGGUUCAGAGCAUGGGCUCUGUCCCCCACUGCCUGGGAAGAAGUCUGCUUUGCCACGUUGUUGAGCCUGUGGUCUUGGACGAGCUGGUUCUCUGUCUGUACCUGGGUCUCUUUAUUCAUAAAGUGGAGUAUUUAUAAUAGCACCUGCUUCAUCAGACAGUUUUGAGGACCCAAUGAGUUAAUAAGUGCAAAGCAUUUAGAAUAGGGCCUAGGGUAUAGCAAAUGCUCAGUAGAUGUUGGCUAUUAUUGUUAUUAUUAUUCCUCAGGGCCGCCAGGAUGGAGUGAGGGAGGAAAGGUCUUCCUUCCAUCUAGAGCUGGCCAGAGGGUCCUGGGGAGCCCAGGAAGCGGGGCCUGGGCAUGCCUCUUACACUCUCCGGGCUGGAGUUUCCCUGUUGACUCUGUGGACAGCAUCAACUGACAGGGUGGCCGUGAAGAGAGAAGACCAGCAAAGGGACUGACACAGGCCUGGCACUUAGUAGGUGCUCAAUAAAUGCUAGUAAGUCGC